UCACUACAACAAAUAUGGGCUUUUAUUGCAUUAGGUUAUAGCGUUUUUACAUCUUUGCUAUAAAAGAGGAGUAGUAAUAGCGUUUCCUGUUCAGAAACAGGGGAACGCUCCCUCGGAUCCUCCGCUCAUAAAAUUAUAGCGUUUCAUUAACAUAGAACAGUGUUCCGCGAAAACCUUCGGGCGCGAAAAUCUUGGGGCGCCAAUCCUUUGCCGCCCAAAGUCACCAAAAAUUUCAAUCGCUCCAUCAAAAUCAGAGGCACCAGAUCUCCCAAUCACUUCGCUCGAACUGGAGCUUGAUAUCUCAAGCAUUGCGAACUGAUUUUGCUCGUUUAUGGAUCGAUUUCUCGUGUCCUAGGGCUUCAAUCGUGCACACCAGAAUCAAAGCCAUAUUCCGACAUAUUGCACUGGCAGAAGCAAACAAUCAGUUUGGAAACUUCUCACCAGUAACAUGUAUAUCCAGCCGAGGCACUUGUCCAAAAUGUUGACAAGCUAUGAAAGGUUAAAGCAAAAAAAAAUGGAUCAAAACUUAGUACAAUUGAAGGCUGCUGGAGUCAAGAAUGUGCCAAAGUUUUUGUUGGGCUUAAAUCAAAGUGCCAACAUUAAAGUUAAUGAUAAGGAAGAAGUUGACAUUGGGCGUGCAGUCGAUGGUGAUGAAGACGUCGUACUAUUUGAUGGUGAAGAAAGGUUGUGUUCUAAUAAUGACAAUGAUGAUCCUUCGGGGUCUAUAACAAAUGAGGUGAAUGGUACAGGUCCAAGAAAUAAAAAGGAUUGUUCUAGUGCACAACCUCUGAGAAAAUCACAAAGAACUCAAGAAUAGGGUGGCAGUACCCAAGGAGCAACCCAAGCUCAGCAGCUUCCCACAUCACGUACUGAACAACCUGACAUGUUUUGCAGCCCACAUACGGUUGUUGGUUGUGUGGAAACUCUUGCAAGCCCUUCAAGAACGUCACAAAAUCUCAAGCGCAAAAGAGGCCCAACCAAGCUGAAAACCAUUGCUAUAGAUGGAAGUAGUCGGAUUGAAGUUAAGUUUGAUGGGAAUGGUGAACCAAUAGGUGAGGGAUCAGUCAAGUUGUCUUCUUUCUUGGGACCUCUAGUUCGAGAGAUUGUACCAUAUACACUAAAGGAUUGGCGAAAGCUUCCUUCGGCAAUGGCAGAAAUCUUAUGGCAAUCUAUUAAGGUAAGAUUCAAUCUUCAUGAAGAAUGGCAUAGACAAAUGGUUUUCCGGAGAAUGAAUGAAGAUUGGAGAGCCUCAAAGUCAAUAUUAGUAAAAAAAAUAAGAAACGCUUCGAAUGAGGAAGAAAGGCUAAAGCUACAGCCUGAUAACGUCAAAUCGCUACAUGAUUGAAAGGAUUUUGUGAAGGAAAAGACUAGUAAAGAAUUCAAGGUUUAUGGGUUGAUAAAGAAGUGUUGUUGUGACUUUUUACUGAAGAUGUAGGUAUGAUCUUGCUAGUGUGAUGGCUGUCAUUAUCGCUUGGUUGGUUGAAGCUUUUUUGUUGAUACUUAUGGGAUGGAUAGAUUUUGGAAGGACUGUUUUGGUUGAAGCCUUUUUAUUAAUAUUUCGGUGUCGAGGUUUGAACUCCACUUUUGGGAUACAUAGAUGUUUUGGAAGGCUUUUUUGUUGAUAUUUGGUAACAAGGCUUGUACUCCACUUUCGGGAUACACGGAUAUUUUGGAAGGCCUUUUUGUUGAUAUUUGGUGACAAGGCUUGUAUAUACUAGUAGAUAGAAAUGUUGGAAGGACAUUUAGUAUAUUGAAUUUCUUUUGUAAUGGUAAUCGCUUUGAUGUUUGGAAAUAUUUUGUUGGUUUUGUAUGCAAUAUUGUGACAUAUAUUGUCAAGGAAGUCAUUGGAGCCGCCAUCUUCUUUUUUUAAG